AAUAAUGCAACGUGAAAAAAAAAAGUUUGCAUUUUUAGAGUUGUUUUCAAAACCGCCAGGCAUCUCAAAGCAUUUUACAGCCUUUAAAGGCUUUGAAGUAUGGUCAUUGCUCUAAUGUAGGAUACAUGACAGCUAAUUUGCACACAGCGAACUCAUCCAAAAGAUGGGACCUCUGAAGAAGGGUCAUAUGGACUCGAAAUGUUAACUCUGUUUCUCUCUCCACAGAUGCUGCUAGACCUGCAGAGUUUUUUCUGGCAUUUUCUGCUUUUGUUUCAGAUUUCCAGCAUCUGCAGUAUUUUGCUUUUAACUCCAACAGUGCAGCAUUCUCAGAGUACUGCACUGAAGCGUCAGCCUUGAUGUUUGUGGAACCUUACGAUGGACAGACAAGAAUGCUACCAGCUGAGUCAUGACUAAUACAGAGACAUACUUUAUAAUGUCAAUGACUUCACUAAACAGCAAACCCUUCAACUGACCAUAUUGUCUGGGAUUGGAUUAAUUGACUCUCAUCAGAUGAAUUUGGCUGUCUGAUCCAACAGAGGGCAGUAGUGAGAAGUGACUGAGAAGCGUUCUGGGAGAAGUCAGCGCAGUCACCGUAACUCAGAAGAGGAUUGAGGAGGAUCCACUGUCAAAGAAUGAAAUAGCCCCAAACAUUACAUUGCUGAAGUGUUGCUAUCCCUCUCUCCUCCACAAACCAAAAAAAAAGAGAGAGAGGGAGAGGCAGUACCUUCAGCAGUGCACCAGACUGCGAGGGACACUCUUCCCGAAAGUGGAUUUUAAAAAAAGCAGCUGAUUGGGUUUCGAACCAGUGGAGACUUUGUGGGAGCAGAUAUUUCCUCUAGAUUUCCCUCUUCAAUAACAUCAUGAAUUGGAAGUAGCGUUUACAAGUUGCGCAAUCCUCACUCAUCAUAGUGUGCACCUAAUAACUACCCAAGAAUAGAUGGAAGCUACCCUCUAAAUGAAAAGGGUAAUCAGCCAGUGGUCCAAAGUUUCCUGGUAGUAUCCAGUACUACAGUUGGAUGUGCUAAGCUCUUCACAGCAUGAUCAGUUGCCGUGCCCUUCAAAUCAUGUGCUGAUGGCAUGGUGUUGAUUAAGCCUAGAAAGAAAUUCAAAACCACCACUGCUAGAGACAUUUGCACUGCCUUUGAUGCUCUGCGGCUGACCGACUCCAGUAACUCAUAAUGAACAAUAAAGAGAACAAUCAAAGCACUCCUUCCAGGAGAAGCAGCAAUCUACUUGUACUUUUUUCAAUUUAAUAAAAUGUAUUAAUUGCUCA